CCGGGGGCGGAACCGGGGGGAGGAGCGGACGGAGCGCUAGGACCGCCGGCACCGCCUGCGCCGCACGGCCGUGUGGUUGGACUGCCGCCCGAAGCGCCGUCUGGAGUGGUACGACGUCGUGGUCGACGCCCCGUGCCACGCGGAGCUGGGGAGGCCGCGGACGCGCGAGGUCGAGUGCGCGAAGCUGGAGGAGCGGCGGAGGGGCAGGCGCGCGAAGACCCGGCGGCUGCCGGGAAGGGAGCUGCUGGAGCGGUUUCCGGCGGGGAAAAGCGGCGAGGGCGAGUUGCGGUGGAAGGCGUUGCUCUGCGAGGCGGAGGGGAAGAGGCGGGGCGACGGCGGCGAGGAGCGGUAGAAGCUGGGGCUGUGGAGGAGGCUGGAGCCGGUGCAGAAGGAGAGGCGGCGGAGGUUGAGGAGGUUGCGGUGGCGGCGAGAGCGGAGGGCCUAGCGGUGCGGGUGGUACAAGCUGUUGACGCAGGUCGAGAGACUCCCGAUGGCGGAAGCGACCUGCGAGUUGCGUAGGCGGCCGCUCCAGCUGUAGCCGGAGCUCCGGCGCCAGCCGAGGCUCAUGAUGUACCGGAAGCCCACCCGACUGGGGUUCCGGUUGAGGGGGCGGUACCAGGCGAGGCUGCAGCAGCAGCGACCGAAGUGGCUCCUUCCAUACGGCAAGCGACUCCUGAUGAUGUAAUGGCUGAUGUCACUCACGUGGUACCCCUUCCUACUGGACGGACACAGGCCUCACACGGGCCUGUCACGAAUGCUACUGCCCUCCUUGCUAAGGUCCGACCAAAUACCCGUGGCCGCCCUACCACACAGAAAGCAGUCCAUGUUCUCCUUUGAGCUGUCACUCCUACUGUUUAUACUACACGAACAACCACGGUGCCUCCUCUACCGACACCAGACCCGGUAGCCUUUCGACGCAGGCGGCCUGUGAAACGCCGGCGUGAUGGAAGGCGUCUUAGUACCCCCAGGCUCCCUACUUUGGAAACCCAACUACUCCGAGUUAAACAGGCUCCGUCACCUGUCAACGGAACCUGGCAACCUACGGCUGUUAUUCGUUCUGGUCCUGUCCUAGUAACGGCUGCCCUUCUGCGGUGACCAACACUGUAGGCGAGGUCGUCACGCGAUGGGUUUGGGUGGUUUGGGACUGUUCCACUAAAUGUAGUUGUUCUUCCUCCGCGGUGACGACUUCCAGCUCUCCCCACACGGCCACUUCAAGAGUCACGUCCGACCCGUACUACACCGUGACAUACAGUGAAGUCUGGGGUAGCCACCUUUACGGUGAAACUCCUUAUUCUGACUCCAGUAUAUACGGCCACCGGGACUACAAGUACCACACGGUCGUUGGGGGUGUCUUGACCAAACCGACGGACUAUCCUUAUGUGGACUAGAACAGAUGAUGGUCAGCCACAUACUUCGUUUCUACCCCACCUUCCAAGUUCACCAACUACCUCCGGAGUCACUGUACAUGUUAUUGUCACAGGACAACCUACUAGUCGUCCAAUGAGACAAAACCUGAGACAGGUGACUGAGAUAUAGAUAUCGUCGAGCUCCACUCUUCUUUUCGCCCAUGGAACGACAGCGCAAACCCUCACCCUACGACUUGUCAAUACGGAUACAACCGACCCAUCCGUUACUACCUCAACCCUCCCAGUUCUGAAUGACCUAACUACCUUUCUCACGUCGUCCAUAAGUAAGUUGUAGACUUUUAAAUUGGAUACAGUCCACAUUUAGUCUUCUACCGCAAUAAUGUAAACUCAAAUGUGCAGGAGAAUUCGGAAGGACAUGACCUUUCCACCUCACGUUCUUAUAAUAACUAGGUUGGUGUGGAGAAUUCCAACAAACCCGGUACCCACGUUCGACCAGUCCUCUACUGGACUGCCUGUCAUUAUACGUAAGCCAGUGUUCGUCAGCGGGGUAUGCACAAGAAAACAACUCUCCAAGUCGACUCCGUCUUGUCCUGAACGCCGGGCAAGACCGACACGUACCUAAAUACUACAAACACCGGACCCCGUAGAACGAAGGACCACCUUAUAACCGACGAGCCAUAAACUUUUCGAACUUCCCUCUGCCCACCAUGGUUUAUGUACAGAUAGACGUCAUAAGACCCUAGAGAUAUUACAAGGAACCGCAGGAAAAACGACGUCGGCUCGAGGCUCCAAAGAUACAACUAAGUCACGUGCAGUUCAAACCAAAUAGUCGGAAUGACAACCGUCGAAAAGUCGGCGAGUUACGGAUAAAGGCCGGGUUCUCCGGGCGAUUACCCCUCCAAGGUGGGGCCUUGGCACAGGAGACCCUCAUGGAUGUACAGUAGUGUCCCUCCAGUCGUUAACAGCAGCCUCAGCACCGUGAAAAGUGGCCUUACUUCGUAAAUCCGGUCUCCAUACUGUCACUUUUACAUCUCCUCGAGUGGACCCGGAACUACGACACCCACGAAAGACGGUAUCAAUAUCGAGACAGGGAUCUUAUAUUUCUCCAGUUUGCUUCCCCGCCGCUGGCUUCGAAGUCUCCCGUGACCCAAGAUCCAUUGUGGCUCCUUCUACUGAGCCAACUAGAGAACGUAGGACUGUCGAGACGGUCCUCAAGUCUUAGAUCCGGAAGACCACAUUACCUCCACGUCGAACUCGGAGAGUGGUCUACUCAUCAUCUUAUCGCAUCUAGUUAGACAUAGAGGGUCACAGUCUAUGUGUGUGUGUGUGUGUGGUUCAGGACAAAAGUCAGUAUGUUGUCUUUGUCUACCACAGGUGUUCGUGCCACUGAAAGGCGAGUCUUUCUUUUAACUUAAAGAGUACGAACAAAGAAGAUGGUACCGUCUUACCAUGGUCCGAUGUAUCCUAGAAGUUUAAUACGGAAACUAAGGAACGCAGUGUGACAAGUCUAACAUAUCACAUGUAAAACAAAAAAGUGUUAUCUGUCCGUGUUAAACAAUGUAACGGGGGUUCAUUAAGAAAAGGGGUAGUCUAAAACUCUCUCUCUCUCUAUUCUAUAUGUAAAACAAUUGACCCGUCUCGUGAGCUCCCUGUCUUUAACACAUAGUAUCACGAUUACGAUAAGUUAUAAGUAAAACUCUAUUUUCCCUUGUCUACAACAUUACACGAAUCUUAAAACUUG
rnacentral:rRNA from 1 species